rnacentral:rRNA from 1 species
AGAGUUUGAUCCUGGCGCAGAACGAACGCUGGCGGCAGGCUUAACACAUGCAGGUCGAGCGCCCCGCAAGGGGAGCGGCAGACGGGUGAGUAACACGUGGGAACGUACCUUUUGGUUCGGAACAACUCCGGGAGACUGGAGCUAAUACCGGAUAAGCCCUAACGGGGAAAGAUUUAUCGCCAGAAGAUCGGCCCGCGUCUGAUUAGCUAGUUGGUGGGGUAACGGCCCACCAAGGCGACGAUCAGUAGCUGGUCUGAGAGGAUGAUCAGCCACACUGGGACUGAGACACGGCCCAGACUCCUACGGGAGGCAGCAGUGGGGAAUAUUGGACAAUGGGCGCAAGCCUGAUCCAGCCAUGCCGCGUGAGUGAUGAAGGCCUUAGGGUUGUAAAGCUCUUUUGUCCGGGAAGAUAAUGACUGUACCGGAAGAAUAAGCCCCGGCUAACUUCGUGCCAGCAGCCGCGGUAAUACGAAGGGGGCUAGCGUUGUUCGGAAUCACUGGGCGUAAAGCGCACGUAGGCGGACCAUUAAGUCAGGGGUGAGAGCCUGGAGCUCAACUCCAGAACUGCCUUUGAUACUGAUGGUCUCGAGUUCGGAAGAGGUUGGUGGAACUGCGAGUGUAGAGGUGAAAUUCGUAGAUAUUCGCAAGAACACCAGUGGCGAAGGCGGCCAACUGGUCCGACACUGACGCUGAGGUGCGAAAGCGUGGGGAGCAAACA